rnacentral:rRNA from 1 species
AGUGAACGCUGGCGGUAGGCCUAACACAUGCAAGUCGAACGGCAGCACAGUAAGAGCUUGCUCUUACGGGUGGCGAGUGGCGGACGGGUGAGGCAUACAUCGGAAUCUACUUUUUCGUGGGGGAUAACGUAGGGAAACUUACGCUAAUACCGCAUACGACCUACGGGUGAAAGCAGGGGAUCUUCGGACCUUGCGUGAUUGAAUGAGCUGAUGUCGGAUUAGCUAGUUGGCGGGGUAAAGGCCCACCAAGGCGACGAUCCGUAGCUGGUCUGAGAGGAUGAUCAGCCACACUGGAACUGAGACACGGUCCAGACUCCUACGGGAGGCAGCAGUGGGGAAUAUUGGGCAAUGGGCGCAAGCCUGAUCCAGCCAUACCGCGUGAGUGAAGAAGGCCUUCGGGUUGUAAAGCCCUUUUGUUGGGAAAGAAAAGCAGCAGGUUAAUACCCCGCUGUUCUGACGGUACCCAAAGAAUAAGCACCGGCUAACUUCGUG